rnacentral:rRNA from 1 species
UACGUAGGGGGCAAGCGUUGUCCGGAUUUAUUGGGCGUAAAGAGCUCGUAGGUGGUUCGGUAAGUCGGAUGUGAAAUCUCCAGGCUCAACCUGGAGGGGUCAUUCGAUACUGCCGUGACUAGAGUUCGGUAGGGGAGUGUGGAAUUCCUGGUGGAGCGGUGAAAUGCGCAGAUAUCAGGAGGAACACCGGUGGCGAAGGCGGGUCUCUGGGCAGUAACUGACGCUGAGGAGCGAAAGCGUGGGGAGCGAACAGG